rnacentral:rRNA from 1 species
UACGUAGGGCGCAAGCGUUAUCCGGAAUUAUUGGGCGUAAAGAGCUCGUAGGCGGUUUGUCGCGUCUGCCGUGAAAGUCCGGGGCUCAACUCCGGAUCUGCGGUGGGUACGGGCAGACUAGAGUGAUGUAGGGGAGACUGGAAUUCCUGGUGUAGCGGUGAAAUGCGUAGAUAUCGAGAGGAACACCGGUGGCGAAGGCGAGUCCCUGGAAAACACCUGACACUGAGGCACGAAAGCUAGGGGAGCAAACAGGAUUAGAAC